AAAAAAACUCAUGUACAAAGCAAACAAUUGAGUGACCCACUCUCUGGUGGGGUGGUCGCCAAUGAAACGACAAUUCUUUGUAAACAGCCCUUAAAACAUAGGAAAAACCAAUGCACCAGUAGGGUAGAAGAAUUUUCCUUCAGCCAAAUGUCUGAAACUUGUAUAGUCAACAUGAUAUUUGUCCAUCAUAAUUAAAUGUUGAAGGCUACCAUGCACAUCAAAGUAGAGCCUUAACAAUUUUGUUUUUCCUUCAGUUUAUCAGGUGGCUCGAUAGCUUUGAACCUGUAUGAGGAAGUUAGCUUCCCCCCCUUUUUUAAACAGUGUUAGCUCUUCCCUUUUUCCAUUAUCUAUCUCAUUCUUUGAAAUAUAUUCAUCAAUAUUUGACGGAUGAAAAUCUAGAGCACAUGAUUUAAAGAUUUCACAGGAGAAAAAAAUCAUGAGUGUGCUAUAUGAGGUUCACAAAUAAAGAGCAGGACUCGUGAGUAUUCGAGUAGGUGUCACUCCAAUAUAAUUAUAGGAAGGGCUCAACCGUCAACGUGUGGGCUGAGUAAUCGUGUCAACGGUGACUCACUGACUGGUAAAUUUUCUGUGCUUUUGUAAUGUUGUAGAAAGGCAAGGGUUUCAGUUUAACCAAGAUUGCUUUAGUAUCAUCACCUCCCUUUUGUAAAACUUUAUGUGAUUCCUAAUUAUUGCCUUUUUUAAAUUGGAAUCCUAUGCUUUUUUAUGUCUUUUUUCUCUGACACG
rnacentral:misc_RNA from 1 species